rnacentral:lncRNA from 1 species
GGCUGCGGAGCUCGGGGAUGGCGGCGGCGGGCAGCGCUCGGCCCCGCCAGCAGCCGCCUGCGGGGGGAUCGAGGCGGGCUGGGGCCGUGCCCGGCCCCGCUGGGCAGCGACACGCGUCUGCCUCCCCCCUCGGCGGCGCCUCCCCGCGGCACCUUCCCGGCCCUUCCUGAACUUUCCUUCCCCGCUCGCCCACGGGCGCCGGGCGAGCAGCGCAGCGGCCCCUGCCGGCCCCCGGGCAGUCCCCCAGGGGGAUACAAAGCGCAAAAUCCGCAGAUUUCCCCUCAAAAGGCGGCGCCCUCCGGCCCCGGGCAGGAACGCGUUGUAGCGCAGCUUAAAACCUAGGGGGACCAAGGAUGAGGAAGGGUCACUGCUACCAUAUGGAUACUGGGACUUGCCAUGGUACUGGUCAUUCUACAGGGCCUAUGAGGACAACAUUCUCCAGGUUUCUUUGGUCACUCUUCUUUGUUUCUGUCCCAGCCUAAUGAGAAUGCAUGUUGUAGGCUCUCCGUGGAGUCACAGAAGCCUCAGCUCAGCAGGAGACGAUUUUGCUGAAGAGCUAGUCCAAACUUUCGACCUGAGGGAAGCUAAAUAUAGCACGUGUCUCCCAAUAGACUUCAAAGGCUUUGGCAACAAAGGUCAGUACCAUUCUCCUCGCUUCAUAGAUGGGAAAAACAAAGCUGCAAAAGAGGGAAAUUAUUUCCUUGAUAUCAUGAGGCAGUUUAGAACAGAAUACUAGGGCAUGAAAAUCCUGUGCCCAGACCUGCUCUGCUAGGUCCCAUGUGGCUUAAACUGUCAGUUGUGACAGGGAACUGCUUGUCUCUAUUGUUUCUAUCAACCCUCUUCCUCUUCACGUCACCACCUAAUGCUCCUUGCUUUUAGUGUCUGAACAGGUAGAAAAAGUGCAUCUUUGGAAACUUAUGCCACAGCAGGCAUGUGUAUUUCUAUACAUACCCAAUUGGGAAGAAAAUUGGAAACUGCAUGUUUGAAUUACUCCAUGUAUUGUGCUGAUCAGGUCUUUUUAUUGUCUGUCACCUUCCAUGUAAGCCAC